rnacentral:lncRNA from 1 species
AGAGCUGAAGCCACACCUUGCCCUAGUGUUCGCAGCAGUGAAGGCAUGGCACCCCAGCAACAGGCUUUGUCCCUUGAGCAUGGUGCUUGCUCUUUCUGAGCAUCAACUAGGGUCACGUUAGAAGGCCCAGGCAGGAGAAAGCCGAACACGGCUGGCUGAGGGAGUGUCUGAUGACCACGCUGUGCGGAGGCUGCCAUCUGAACUGAGCAGAUGCUUCACUGAGCAGGCGAGAGCACAGGCUGAGGAUGCUACAAGAGUCCAUUGUAGAAUCGAUAGAAAGUAUCCAGAUUGAAGCUUUACUUUGUUCCUGAUCAAAUGUGAAAAAUAAAACAAGCAAGCAAAAUGCAGCACUGUCAUUCGGAUGUUUCCAUACAGAAACCCAUGCACACCUCAGAGCUGGGUUUACAUCGAGCUCUUGGUCAGUGCUGCUGAGUCGGCAGACAGUGAAGCUUGGCUGGCUGGAGAGAAUUCAACCAUGGACAAAACUUCGCCACCUUCAUUUCACAGAAAACCAGCGUGUGCCCCCACCCUCCCGUCCCAUAUUCCCUCUGACCAUCCACAAGAUCAAACUGCAGUUUCGUGUGGGGUGAGGACAUUUUCAUACACUGUUGUUUGGUGUGUUACAUGAUUUGCCUGGAAGCCAGCGUGUGCAAGGCCUGUCUUCACUGUGAACCACCCUCUUCUGCAAACUGCUGCUCAGGCUGUGUCUGCCACAUCAUUUUCUAUUAACUGAACAUGACUAUAACAAAGCAAACACCAACACUGUAUGAAUAACCAUGAAGGCACCAAGAUAAUACAUUUAAGUACUGUGGAGAAACGUGGGCAGAAGACUACCGUGGAUGUGACAAUGGGAAACAGCACGAAAAAGGAAAUUAACGCUCUUUUCUGUGUUUCCAGAAAAUGCCAAUGCCUAACUGGCUCAUGAGAGACACCACCGAGUGCCCCAGGUCUGUCUGUACACUCUCACUAAUUAUAGUAUUACGUUCUCUUGGCAUUAUAGACACUCAUUCCUCUUG